UAAGACAGAUAAUCGCUGCUGCUAUUGCCGAAAGGACGCAGGAGAGGAAAGUCCGGGCUUCGCAGGGCAGGAUGCCGGCUAACGGCCGGUGGAGGUGACUCCCAGGAAAGUGCAACAGAAAUAAAACCGCCUUUUUAGGUAAGGAUGAAAUGGCAGUGUAAGAGACUACCGCUUUGGUGGUAACAUCAAAGGUCAAUGUAAACCCCAUCCGAAGCAAGACCGAGCAGAAAGCAUAUGGUGGCCCGCCAGCUUUCGGGUAGGUUGCUUGAACUUGUUGGCAACAAUAAGUCUAGAUAGAUGAUUAUCCAAGACAUAACCCGGCUUACAGUCUUGCUCGC
rnacentral:RNase_P_RNA from 1 species